GACAAUAUAAGCCCAGCUCAACAUCAGAUCAGCUUACAUGUAGAAAGGUAGAAAUGAGAGGAGACUAGUGAAGUCAGAAAAUUAUAUACAUUUUUUUUCUUGUUUUAGGUGAAUGGAGUAGAUGUGAGAAGCAGGGACCAAGCCAUUCAGCUAUUCUCAGAAAGAGGCUCGGAAAUCAAGCUUCUGCUGGCCCGUCCACAAUUACAGCUGGAUGAUGGUUUUAUGGAGGACCAGAAUGUGACCUUGGAUGACCUUCACAUGGACAUUCUGGAGAAACAUCACCGUGACAACAUGCAAAUCAUGGCCUCCAUGUUAGCUCGGGGUCACAUGGAGGAGGAAGGGG